rnacentral:rRNA from 1 species
UACGGGGGGAGCAAGCGUUGUUCGGAUUUACUGGGCGUAAAGGGCGCGUAGGCGGUCAGCACAAGUCAGUUGUGAAAUCCCCGGGCUUAACCUGGGAACUGCAUCUUAAACUGAUAGGCUGGAGUACUGUAGAGGAUAGUGGAAUUUCCGGUGUAGCGGUGAAAUGCGUAGAGAUCGGAAGGAACAUCAGUGGCGAAGGCGACUGUCUGGACAGAUACUGACGCUGAGGCGCGAAAGCGUGGGGAGCAAACAGG